rnacentral:lncRNA from 1 species
AUGUAUGAUGACACAGAAGCACCAAGUGGAGAAGAGGGUCUCCCACAAUGGAGUUGCCGCCCCCUCCCUGCUGAGCCCACAGAGAAGACAGAACAUGUGGAAGAUGAAUAUGAAAGCUUUGGUGAAGAAAGCAGCUAUGGCAGGAUCCCAUUUCCUUCUGAAAGGAAGAAGCCAAAUACACAAGCAAAACAACCAAGCCCUAGUAUUAACUCUUUUACAGCUGAGCCAGCUUUCACUCCUGCCUUCUGGAAAGGCUUUUGGAAGAGAAAUGGCAUGCUUGUGGUCUUGGCUGUCCUUGUUGGCUGUCUCGUAAUUGACAUGAUUCUUCUCUCACAAUAUGCUGCCAUGUUUUCAGAGCUCAGGAAGCUGAAUUUCACCCCCACAACUGACAUCUGUGAACCUUCAACAGCCCCUCUAUAUAUUGAAGAAUUAAAGAGCACAUUAAUAGCAGAGUUCAGAACUUUGGAAAAUCAUGUUGAUGAGAAGUAUAAAGCAAGUGAUAGAAAAAUGGAAAAGGAAAUAUCCAGGCUGGAAGAAAAACUGAGUGCAAUGGAAAACAGACAAGGUUAA